UUUGUUUCUCCUGAAAAUGUUGAUGAAUGUAUCCGGUUGUCCGAAGAUUUUCGUGCUCUUCCCCAGAAUCACAGGGCAAAAGAAGAUAAGUUGGAGGUGAAGAAAGUGGCACUUCAUGCGGUGCAGGCAGCUAUAGAUGACUUGGAAAAUGCAAAACAAACCAAAAAGGAGACUAAAGAAGAGGUGACUGAAUCUGGGAAGAACACGAAGCCUAAAAAGAAAGGUGGGAGGUCCAAGAAGAAUAACUAAAUCUAUUAUGUAAUGGGAGGAUGCAAGUGACAAUGGAGCCAAGUAUUUUGGUGGGAAUGAUUUGAUUAUAUUUUGUAUCUACAGAAGAGAGAGCCAGUAGUAUUGUGGUCGAUUUGAUUAUAAUAUUGUAGCAAAACCAAAACCUUGAAAUGUUUCAACUUGAAACAUUUGGUGGACAUUUAGAUUU